UGGAACGAUACUCUUUUAUUAUUACACCGGUAAAUCGUGCAUUUACGGAUUUACUACAUCACGAUCCCACCUAUUUGCCGCCACAUGAGUCGUAAAAUAAUCCACCACCUUCUUACGAAUCUCCAAGGGUGUAACCACCCAACCCUCAUCCUCCCUCAACACCUUGAUGGAAUUUCUACUAUUUCUUUGGGUUCACGUUAAGAAUUUAGUGUUUAUAUAUGUUGUGUUUUGAUGAUAGAUGUUUCAUUGCACUUCAUCUUUCCCUGAUAUGUUUCAAUGCCACAUGGAACUAUGGGUCAUAUUUAGAUAUUCUACUGAAACAAAUUAGUAUUCUAUUAAUUAACUACCAAUUCAAUCCCCAAAAAACCCAAGUGAAAUCACAACCCAAAUUAUGUAACGUUUAUGCCCAUAAUGCAUUUUGCUCCCUAGCUAGUAUGCCUCAAUUGAAACCUCAAAGUCUUAAUACAACAUCAAACUAUUCACAGCUUCAGCUCCUUCUCUGAGGCUUCUCUUAUAUCUUUAAUCAACCCCACCUCCAUCUUAGUUUAUUUUCCUGCACAUAUAUUAGAAAAGUGAAUUUGAAAUAAUAUAUUUUCUGCUUACAUGCUUUCAGACUUACAUAAACUAAGGUAUCAAUUUUUAUAUAUUUUCUGCAAGUGGUAGCGAUGUAAAGAAGCCACCAAUUCUUGAUGUGGUUAAGAAAGUGAAGGGGAAAAAUUGAGUAUGAUAAUAAUGGUAAGAUUCAUUUAGAAAGGUUUAUGUUAUUUGUCAAUGUGAAUGAGUUUAGGGAUGUAUUGAGAGAUCAAUGUGAAUG
rnacentral:lncRNA from 1 species